rnacentral:rRNA from 1 species
GACGAACGCUGGCGGCGUGCCUAAUACAUGCAAGUCGAACGAACUCUGGUAUUGAUUGGUGCUUGCAUCAUGAUUUACAUUUGAGUGAGUGGCGAACUGGUGAGUAACACGUGGGAAACCUGCCCAGAAGCGGGGGAUAACACCUGGAAACAGAUGCUAAUACCGCAUAACAACUUGGACCGCAUGGUCCGAGUUUGAAAGAUGGCUUCAGCUAUCACUUUUGGAUGGUCCCGCGGCGUAUUAGCUAGAUGGUGGGGUAACGGCUCACCAUGGCAAUGAUACGUAGCCGACCUGAGAGGGUAAUCGGCCACAUUGGGACUGAGACACGGCCCAAACUCCUACGGGAGGCAGCAGUAGGGAAUCUUCCACAAUGGACGAAAGUCUGAUGGAGCAACGCCGCGUGAGUGAAGAAGGGUUUCGGCUCGUAAAACUCUGUUGUUAAAGAAGAACAUAUCUGAGAGUAACUGUUCAGGUAUUGACGGUAUUUAACCAGAAAGCCACGGCUAACUACGUGCCAGCAGCCGCGGUAAUACGUAGGUGGCAAGCGUUGUCCGGAUUUAUUGGGCGUAAAGCGAGCGCAGGCGGUUUUUUAAGUCUGAUGUGAAAGCCUUCGGCUCAACCGAAGAAGUGCAUCGGAAACUGGGAAACUUGAGUGCAGAAGAGGACAGUGGAACUCCAUGUGUAGCGGUGAAAUGCGUAGAUAUAUGGAAGAACACCAGUGGCGAAGGCGGCUGUCUGGUCUGUAACUGACGCUGAGGCUCGAAAGUAUGGGUAGCAAACAGGAUUAGAUACCCUGGUAGUCCAUACCGUAAACGAUGAAUGCUAAGUGUUGGAGGGUUUCCGCCCUUCAGUGCUGCAGCUAACGCAUUAAGCAUUCCGCCUGGGGAGUACGGCCGCAAGGCUGAAACUCAAAGGAAUUGACGGGGGCCCGCACAAGCGGUGGAGCAUGUGGUUUAAUUCGAAGCUACGCGAAGAACCUUACCAGGUCUUGACAUACUAUGCAAAUCUAAGAGAUUAGACGUUCCCUUCGGGGACAUGGAUACAGGUGGUGCAUGGUUGUCGUCAGCUCGUGUCGUGAGAUGUUGGGUUAAGUCCCGCAACGAGCGCAACCCUUAUUAUCAGUUGCCAGCAUUAAGUUGGGCACUCUGGUGAGACUGCCGGUGACAAACCGGAGGAAGGUGGGGAUGACGUCAAAUCAUCAUGCCCCUUAUGACCUGGGCUACACACGUGCUACAAUGGAUGGUACAACGAGUUGCGAACUCGCGAGAGNAAGCUAAUCUCUUAAAGCCAUUCUCAGUUCGGAUUGUAGGCUGCAACUCGCCUACAUGAAGUCGGAAUCGCUAGUAAUNGCGGAUCAGCAUGCCGCGGUGAAUACGUUCCCGGGCCUUGUACACACCGCCCGUCACACCAUGAGAGUUUGUAACACCCAAAGUCGGUGGGGUAACCUUUUAGGAACCAGCCGCCUAAGGUGGGACAGAUGAUUAGGGUGAAG